GGGGAUUUAGCUCAGAGGCAUAAGCACCUGCCUUGCAAGCAUGCAGUCAUGAGUUCAAUCCCCA
rnacentral:tRNA from 1 species